rnacentral:lncRNA from 1 species
CCGGGGAGGGGGCGGGGAGGAGGGAGCGAGCGGGCUUUGACCGGUAGUAACCCCGGCGCCCGGCGCAGCCGAAUCUAUAAAAGGAACUAGUCGCGGCGAAACCCCGGUAAUUCCGAGCGGGAGCGGGCGCGGCCGGCACCUCCGUCCCCGGGGCAGGUGGGACCGGCGCACCCACAGCCCGCUUCUCGGGGUGCUCUGCCCCUCGCCCCCCCCGUGUCCCCCCUUCUCCGGAAGGGUUUUCCAGGGGUGGGGGCAAAGACGCGCACAGAACAGUGGAAAGCAGGAGAACCAUCCCUUCCGCCAGCAUGGUGAAACAGUCCCCAAGGAGGCACCUGCGGCACCUGACAAGGAGUAGCCGGGCCCUCUGCGCAGGUGCGGGCUGCAGGUGCGGGUGGCGCGGAGCCAGGGUGUACAGAUGUCUGGACAGUGGGAGCUUGUUGGUCUCCCAGGCGAUGCUCUCCACCUGCCUUAGCUGACUUGUUUCUCCACGGGGUAUUGUUUUCCUUCCACCGACACACAGCGCUGGGAUUGUCGUCCUCACCUGGGAGCCAGGUGUCGGGGCCACUUCCUCGGUGUUUACGCACCGUCUCCCAAGACACGCUGUGGCUUUCCGGAUUGGGAAACUGCUUUAUGGGUGGUGCUGUUUAUCAUUUGAAGGACAACAACUGUGCAGCCAGAUGAAAAUGUCGUCCGCGGCAGAUUUCAAGGAAUAGCAUAAAUUACUCCAGAUUCGAGGCCAGAUUUGUAAAUGCCGCUGACAUUUUACGUGAAGGGAGGCAUUUUCUUAGAGAGGUGAGGCAGGUGUCUGGGAUUGCAGGAUGCCAGGAUGCCAUUUCCAACCUCAGCGUUCGGACCAGCCACUUAAGUCUGUUUUCUUUUCUUUUUUUUAAAAUUUUAUUUAUUUAUUCAUGAAAGACACAGGUAGAGAGAGAGAGAGAGAGGCAGAGACACAGGCAGAGGGAGAAGCAGGCUCCAUGCAGGGAGCCCGACGUGGGACUCGAUCCCGGGUCUCCAGGAUCACGCCCUGGGCUGAAGGCGGCGCUAAACCGCUGAGCCACCCGGGCUGCCCUUAAGUCUGUUUUCUUAAGUGCAUUUUUCAUUCCCAGACGAUCACACCAACGGAGCUAAAAUGAUUAGGAUUAUAAUGACUGGCUUGCAGGCCGCCGCCAGGAAACCUCCAGCAAGCAUCCCUGUGCAGGGAGAACCCUGGGGCCAGCAGCUGGGGCCUCGGGACCUCCGGAGAGCAUUAGGCCCCCGAUCCGGGGGCUGAGGUCUCAGGUGAGGGGGCUGGCGUUUGGCUUCGCCGCGGUGACUGAUAGCUGCUCC